AACACAUGCAAGUCGAGCGAUAUAGCGGCGAACGGGUGAGUAACACGUUGGAACCUACCUCGAACUCAGGGAUAGCCCACUGAAAAGUGGAUUAAUACCGGAUAGUCCCGAAAGGGUAAAGAUUUUUCGGUUCGAGAGGGGCCUGCGGCCUAUCAGCUUGUUGGUAAGGUAAUAGCUUACCAAGGCUAUGACGGGUAUCUGGUGUGAGAGCAUGACCAGACACAAUGGAACUGAGACACGGUCCAUACUCC
rnacentral:rRNA from 1 species